CUCCGUCGUAAGCAUACCUCUAAAAGUAAAAGUAUGCAACUAUAAUAACACCUAAUAACGUCAGGUCAAAGUGCAGCCAAUGAUAGGGAGAUGAUGGGUUACACCCAGAAAAAAGAUACGAAGUAUAGCACCUAAAAACUAUAUGAAGGUGGACUUGGACGUAACAUUAGCCCAAUGCCAUAGUGAAACCGAAUCUAAGACAUGCACACAUCGCCCGUCACUCUCACCAAAAGGCGAGAUAAGUCGUAACAAAGUAGGUGUAACGGAAGUUGCACCUGU
rnacentral:rRNA from 1 species